AACGAACGCUGGCGGCAGGCCUAACACAUGCAAGUCGAGCGAGGACUUCGGUUCUAGCGGCGGACGGGUGAGUAACGCGUGGGAAUGUGCCCUUCUCUACGGAAUAGCCCUGGGAAACUGGGAGUAAUACCGUAUACGCCCUAUUGGGGAAAGAUUUAUCGGAGAAGGAUCAGCCCGCGUUGGAUUAGGUAGUUGGUGGGGUAAUGGCCUACCAAGCCGACGAUCCAUAGCUGGUUUGAGAGGAUGGUCAGCCACACUGGGACUGAGACACGGCCCAGACUCCUACGGGAGGCAGCAGUGGGGAAUCUUAGACAAUGGGGGCAACCCCGAUCUAGCCAUGCCGCGUGAGUGAUGAAGGCCUUAGGGUUGUAAAGCUCUUUCAGCUGGGAAGAUAAUGACGGUACCAGCAGAAGAAGCCCCGGCUAACUCCGUG
rnacentral:rRNA from 1 species